GUACCGUGAGGGAAAGGUGAAAAGAACCCAGGGAUGGGUAGUGAAAUAGACCUGAAACCGUAUACUUACAAAAAGUUAGAGCCCGUUAAAGGGUAAUAGCGUGCCUUUUGUAGAAUGAACCGGCGAGUUACGAUUGCAUGCAAGGUUAAGUAGAAGAUAUGGAGCCAUAGCGAAAGCGAGUCUUAAUAGGGCGUAAGUAUGUAGUUGUAGACCCGAAACCAGGUGAUCUAGCCAUGGCCAGGUUGAAGUUUAGGUAACACUAAAUGGAGGACCGAACCUACGCACGUUGAAAAGUGCGAGGAUGAGCUGUGGUUAGGGGUGAAAUUCCAAUCGAACCUGGAGAUAGCUGGUUCUCCCCGAAAUAGCUUUAGGGCUAGCCUCGCGAGAGAUAUCAAAUGGAGGUAGAGCACUGAAUGUAUGAUGGCCCCGUCUUGGGGUACUGAGUAUAAUCAAACUCCAAAUGCCAUAAUGAUAGUCGCGGGAGUCAGACUGUGGGUGAUAAGGUCCAUGGUCAAAAGGGAAACAGCCCAGAUCACCAGCUAAGGUCCCAAAGUAUAUGCUAAGUGGAAAAGGAUGUGUAGUUGCACAGACAGCUAGGAGGUUGGCUUAGAAGCAGCCAUCCUUGAAAGAGUGCGUAACAGCUCACUAGUCGAGUGACUAUGCGCCGAAAAUUUACCGGGGCUAAGCAUAACACCGAAGCUGUGGACAGGACAACUGUGGUAGGGGAGCGUUCUAAUAGAGAAGAAGCCAUACCGUAAGGAGUGAGUGGAUUUAUUAGAAGAGAGAAUGCCGGUGUGAGUAGCGAAUAAAGGUGAGAAUCCUUUACACCGAAUGACAAAGGAUUCCUGGGGAAGGCUCGUCCGCCCAGGGUAAGUCGGGACCUAAGGCGAGGCUGAAAAGCGUAGUCGAUGGACAGCAGGUAGAUAUUCCUGCACCGCUAAUAACAAAUGAUGGAGUGACAAAGAAGGCUAGGUUGAGCUAGCGAGAUGGAUGUUAGUUGUGAUAAAAAUAGCUGCUAUGCAGGCAAAUCCGCAUAGAGGAAGUAAAAUAUCAUGGGAAGACAAGCUAAGGCGAGUCGAAGCAACCAAAGCCAGCUUUCAAGAAAAGCUUCUAGUGCAAAAAAGUUAAAGCGCCCGUACCGAGAACGAACACACGUAGUCAGGAAGAGAAUUCCGAGGUGAGCAAGAGAACCAUUGUUAAGGAACUCGGCAAAAAGACUCCGUAACUUAGGGAGAAGGAGUGCUUAUAGAGAUAUAAGCCGCAGAGAAUAGGCCCAAGCGACUGUUUAGCAAAAACAUAGCUCUCUGCCAAGUCGCAAGACGAAGUAUAGGGGGUGACGCCUGCCCGGUGCUGGAAGGUUAAGGGGAAAUGUAAGUUAAUAAACGAAGCAUAGAACCGAAGCCCCAGUAAACGGCGGCCGUAACUAUAACGGUCCUAAGGUAGCGAAAUUCCUUGUCGGGUAAGUUCCGACCCGCACGAAAGGCGUAACGAUUUGGGCACUGUCGCACUGUCUCAACAAUGGACUUGGUGAAAUCUUAGUACCUGUGAAGAUGCAGGUUACCCGCGACAAGACGGAAAGACCCCAUGGAGCUUUACUGUAGCUUGAUAUUGGGAUUUGAUUUAUUAUGUACAGGAUAGGUGGGAGCAGAAGAGAUAGACACGUCAGUGUGUAUUGAUGCGAUGUUGGGAUACCACCCUUGAUACAUUGAAUCUCUAACUAGAGGCACUAAGCGUGUCAUAGGACAGUGUCUGGUGGACAGUUUGACUGGGGCGGUCGCCUCCUAAAGAGUAACGGAGGCGCCCAAAGGUACCCUCAGCAUGGAUGGAAAUCAUGCAAAGAGUGCAAUGGCAAAAGGGUGCUUGACUGCGAGAGCAACAACUCGAGCAGGGACGAAAGUCGGGCAUAGUGAUCCGGCGGUGCUGAAUGGAAAGGCCGUCGCUCAACGGAUAAAAGCUACCCUGGGGAUAACAGGCUGAUCUUGCCCAAGAGUU
rnacentral:rRNA from 1 species